rnacentral:misc_RNA from 1 species
UUAUUUUAUUUUAUUUUAAUUUUUAAUUUUAUAAGUGAUUUUAUUUUAAUUUUUAAUUUGAAAUUAAAAGUAUGCAUAAUUAAAAAUAUUUAUCCAAAUAUACAGAGCAAAACAUAGAUUUGAUGUGAGAAUAAAUUGUUAUUCUGAUAAAAUUAUAUUAUAAAUGAUCUAUAUCAUACUAUUUAACAUAGUCAUUUUUAAUAUAAUU